rnacentral:rRNA from 1 species
ACGGGUGAGUAAUACAUCGGAACGUAUCCUGGAGUGGGGGAUAGCCCGGCGAAAGCCGGAUUAAUACCGCAUACGCUCAGAGGAGGAAAGCGGGGGACCUUCGGGCCUCGCGCUCAAGGGGCGGCCGAUGGCGGAUUAGGUAGUUGGUGGGGUAAAGGCCUACCAAGCCGACGAUCCGUAGCUGGUCUGAGAGGACGACCAGCCACACUGGGACUGAGACACGGCCCAGACUCCUACGGGAGGCAGCAGUGGGGAAUUUUGGACAAUGGGGCAACCCUGAUCCAGCAAUGCCGCGUGUGUGAAGAAGGCCUUCGGGUUGUAAAGCACUUUUGUCCGGAAAGAAAUCAUCGGGGCCAAUACCCCUGGUGGAUGACGGUACCGGAAGAAUAAGCACCGGCUAACUACGUGCCAGCAGCCGCGGUAAUACGUAGGGUGCGAGCGUUAAUCGGAAUUACUGGGCGUAAAGCGUGCGCAGGCGGUGCUGUAAGACCGAUGUGAAAUCCCCGGGCUUAACCUGGGAACUGCAUUGGUGACUGCAGCGCUGGAGUAUGGCAGAGGGGGGUGGAAUUCCACGU